ACCUUCUGGGAGCCAGCGGAGCCUUCACU
rnacentral:piRNA from 1 species